rnacentral:rRNA from 1 species
CUAUGCGCCUUGCCAGCCCGCUCAGGUGUGCCAGCCGCCGCGGUAAUACGUAGGGGGCAAGCGUUAUCCGGAUUCACUGGGCGUAAAGGGAGCGCAGGCGGCACGGCAAGUCUGAUGUGAAAACCCAGGGCUCAACCCUGGGACUGCAUUGGAAACUGCCGGGCUGGAGUGUCGGAGGGGUAAGCGGAAUUCCUGGUGUAGCGGUGAAAUGCGUAGAUAUCAGGAGGAACACCGGCGGCGAAGGCGGCUUACUGGACGGCAACUGACGUUGAGGCCCGAAAGCGUGGGGAGCGAACAGG